AGUUUCCACCAAACUCACUGCACACCAAAACCUAAUUUUAUUCUUCUCUGAUUCAAGUUUUGGCGGCGAGGUGGGAAUCCGGAUACCCAAAGCCCAAAUUCUUCCCCACCUUUCUUCGACUAAACCGCCUUUCUUUAAUAUCUCCAACCACUAACAACUUCAACCCUUGGGGUAGACGAUAUUGGUGGUAGAAUCGAAAUACGUAAAGGCUUAAUUGGUGGUGGAUCAUGUAAUGGAUGGCGGUUUCGGUGGUGGAAUUGGAUUGUGUAUCGAUUUAAUUGGAAGGCUUGGUGGUAGAUCUUCUCAGUCAGUUCAUUGAUCGAUAUCCUGGCGCGCGAAUGGGUGAUUUGGCGAUGGUACGCAGUAGCAGGCCUAGCGGCAUAGCAUAAUUAUACUCUCUCUUAAGGAACAGUUUAUAUAGCUUUUUCUCUUUAGUUUCAUGAUUCGGAACUGAUUGGGAAGAUGACUUCAGCAGUUGCAAUCGAAGAUGUUCGCAGGGAGGUGAAUAUAUUGAAAGCAUUAUCUGGAAAUCAGCAUAUGCUCAAAUUUUAUGAUGCAUUUGAGGAUACUAACAACGUCUACUUAUUAGUCAUGGAAUUGUGCGAAGGUGGUGAGCUAUUAGAUAGAAUUUUGCAAAGAGGUGGAAAAUAUGCCGAGGAAGAUGCCAAGUAAAUUGUGGUGCAAAUUUUAUCGGCAGUUGCAUUUUUCCAUCUUCAGGGUGUUGUGCACCGUGAUUUAAAACCAGUGUAUUUUCUUUUUGCUACAAAGGAUGAUGAUGCGCGCUUAAAGCAUUAAAGAAGUGUUCUUACAACGCUUUUCAAGAGAUGGCACUCCAACAAAGAAAACUUCAAAUAGUUAGAUUUUAUUUUGUUCUUUUAGAUUGAACAAGAAUUACUUAUCUUUUAGCUUUUUUAGAAUUUAAAGACUACGGGAUGUGAUUUUGAUUUCACAUAACUUGAAAUUCUAUUGUAAAAAAUCUUUUGAUUAAUGAAAUUUUCAUUUGUUUUAA